UACUGAGUAGAACCGGUUUGGAGGUCCGGUUUGCUCAGUUUUGCUGAGCAGAGGGUAAACCGGUUCUCUGACCGGUUCUACCCAGUAGAACCGGCCAGAGGGCCGGCUCAAUUUUGGCUUGGCCGGUUCAUUGACCGGUUCUGCCCAGUAGAACCGGCCAGUGAACCGGUUCACAACGGGAAAGCUUAUAAAAGCCCCGUUUCUGAAACCUAAUCAGCCCCCACUUUUUCCUAAAACCCUACACACGAUUCUAACUCAUUCCCAACUGUUUUCCUACCUUUCCUUGGUGAUUUAGACAUUCAGUUUGUUCUAAUCAAAUAUUUUCUGGGUUUUCUAUAUUGAAUCGUUCUUAAUCUGUUCCAAGAGACCCGUCGACUGCUCGUACUUCGGAGUCUACGCAGGGUUAGCUGUUUGCCAAGAUUCACGUGGAUAAGCAAGCAGUUUAUGAUUUGAAAGCUGGUCCACUCCGAAUCUUUAUUCCUCGGAGGUUUAUUUCUUUUAAUAAAUUGUCAAACUACCUUUUUCUUAGACCGCAGUAGUAAACUAGAAGUCUAUAUUAUUCUAGUCUAUUUGUCGGAUUUGUCUGACUGGCUUUAUUUUAUGCUUUGGCAUUACUAUUGUUUAACUCUACUUAUUUUUAUUUAAUGGAAGUACUUAUAUUUAAACUGAUAGUUUAAGUUGGAGUCUCGGUUGCCCCCGAGCAUUGGAUUUUCUGCAGGUUUAUA